rnacentral:rRNA from 1 species
CCUUGUACACACCGCCCGUCACAUCACGAAAGUGGGUUGUACUAGAAGUAGGUAGAAUAACCGCAAGGGGUUCGCUUACCACGGUAUGAUUCAUGACUGGGGUG